UACGUAGGGUGCGAGCGUUAAUCGGAAUUACUGGGCGUAAAGCGUGCGCAGGCGGUUCGUGAUGUCUGGUGUGAAAUCUCCGGGCUUAACUCGGAAAGGUCAAGUGAUACUGUCGGACUAGAGUACAGAAGGGGCAACUGGAAUUCUCGGUGUAGCGGUGAAAUGCGUAGAUAUCGAGAGGAACACCUGCGGCGAAGGCGGGUUGCUGGGCUGAUACUGACGCUGAGGCGCGAAAGCUAGGGGAGCGAACGGG
rnacentral:rRNA from 1 species